rnacentral:tRNA from 1 species
AGGAGAGGUGGCUGAGUGGUCGAAAGCGACAGAUUGCUAAUCUGUUGUAUGUUUUUCAUACCGAGGGUUCGAAUCCCUUCUUCUCCUU